rnacentral:rRNA from 1 species
GGCGGACGGGUGAGUAAUAUAUAGGUAAUGUGCCCUAGAGAAGAGGAUAACAGUUGGAAACGACUGCUAAUACUCUAUAUGCCUUUAAGACAAAAGUCUGCAAGGGAAAUAUUUAUAGCUCUAGGAUCGGCCUGUACGGUAUCAGCUAGUUGGUGAGGUAAUGGCUCACCAAGGCAAUGACGCCUAACUGGUUUGAGAGGAUGAUCAGUCACACUGGAACUGAGACACGGUCCAGACUCCUACGGGAGGCAGCAGUGGGGAAUAUUGCACAAUGGGGGAAACCCUGAUGCAGCAACGCCGCGUGGAGGAUGACACAUUUCGGUGCGUAAACUCCUUUUAUAUAGGAAGAUAAUGACGGUACUAUAUGAAUAAGCGCCGGCUAACUCCGUGCCAGCAGCCGCGGUAAUACGGAGGGCGCAAGCGUUACUCGGAAUCACUGGGCGUAAAGAGCGUGUAGGCGGGUUAAUAAGUUUGAAGUGAAAUCCUAUGGCUCAACCAUAGAACUGCUUUGAAAACUGUUAACCUAGAAUAUGGGAGAGGUAGAUGGAAUUUCUGGUGUAGGGGUAAAAUCCGUAGAGAUCAGAAGGAAUACCGAUUGCGAAGGCGAUCUACUGGAACAUUAUUGACGCUGAGACGCGAAAGCGUGGGGAGCAAACAGGAUUAGAUACCCUGGUAGUCCACGCCCUAAACGAUGUACACUAGUUGUUGUGAGGCUAGACCUUGCAGUAAUGCAGUAAACACAUUAAGUGU